GCCCUGGCAGUCAGAGGCGAUGAAGGACGUGCUAAUCUGCGAUAAGCGUCGGUAAGGUGAUAUGAACCGUUAUAACCGGCGAUUUCCGAAUGGGGAAACCCAGUGUGAUUCGUCACACUAUCAUUAACUGAAUCCAUAGGUUAAUGAGGCGAACCGGGGGAACUGAAACAUCUAAGUACCCCGAGGAAAAGAAAUCAACCGAGAUUCCCCCAGUAGCGGCGAGCGAACGGGGAGGAGCCCAGAGCCUGAAUCAGUGUGUGUGUUAGUGGAAGCGUCUGGAAAGGCGCGCGAUACAGGGUGACAGCCCCGUACACAAAAAUGCACAUGCUGUGAGCUCGAUGAGUAGGGCGGGACACGUGGUAUCCUGUCUGAAUAUGGGGGGACCAUCCUCCAAGGCUAAAUACUCCUGACUGACCGAUAGUGAACCAGUACCGUGAGGGAAAGGCGAAAAGAACCCCGGCGAGGGGAGUGAAAAAGAACCUGAAACCGUGUACGUACAAGCAGUGGGAGCACAGAGCAAUCUGUGUGACUGCGUACCUUUUGUAUAAUGGGUCAGCGACUUAUAUUCUGUAGCAAGGUUAACCGAAUAGGGGAGCCGAAGGGAAACCGAGUCUUAACUGGGCGUUAAGUUGCAGGGUAUAGACCCGAAACCCGGUGAUCUAGCCAUGGGCAGGUUGAAGGUUGGGUAACACUAACUGGAGGACCGAACCGACUAAUGUUGAAAAAUUAGCGGAUGACUUGUGGCUGGGGGUGAAAGGCCAAUCAAACCGGGAGAUAGCUGGUUCUCCCCGAAAGCUAUUUAGGUAGCGCCUCGUGAAUUCAUCUCCGGGGGUAGAGCACUGUUUCGGCAAGGGGGUCAUCCCGACUUACCAACCCGAUGCAAACUGCGAAUACCGGAGAAUGUUAUCACGGGAGACACACGGCGGGUGCUAACGUCCGUCGUGAAGAGGGAAACAACCCAGACCGCCAGCUAAGGUCCCAAAGUCAUGGUUAAGUGGGAAACGAUGUGGGAAGGCCCAGACAGCCAGGAUGUUGGCUUAGAAGCAGCCAUCAUUUAAAGAAAGCGUAAUAGCUCACUGGUCGAGUCGGCCUGCGCGGAAGAUGUAACGGGGCUAAACCAUGCACCGAAGCUGCGGCAGCGACACUAUGUGUUGUUGGGUAGGGGAGCGUUCUGUAAGCCUGUGAAGGUGUGCUGUGAGGCAUGCUGGAGGUAUCAGAAGUGCGAAUGCUGACAUAAGUAACGAUAAAGCGGGUGAAAAGCCCGCUCGCCGGAAGACCAAGGGUUCCUGUCCAACGUUAAUCGGGGCAGGGUGAGUCGACCCCUAAGGCGAGGCCGAAAGGCGUAGUCGAUGGGAAACAGGUUAAUAUUCCUGUACUUGGUGUUACUGCGAAGGGGGGACGGAGAAGGCUAUGUUGGCCGGGCGACGGUUGUCCCGGUUUAAGCGUGUAGGCUGGUUUUCCAGGCAAAUCCGGAAAAUCAAGGCUGAGGCGUGAUGACGAGGCACUACGGUGCUGAAGCAACAAAUGCCCUGCUUCCAGGAAAAGCCUCUAAGCAUCAGGUAACAUCAAAUCGUACCCCAAACCGACACAGGUGGUCAGGUAGAGAAUACCAAGGCGCUUGAGAGAACUCGGGUGAAGGAACUAGGCAAAAUGGUGCCGUAACUUCGGGAGAAGGCACGCUGAUAUGUAGGUGAAGCGACUUGCUCGUGGAGCUGAAAUCAGUCGAAGAUACCAGCUGGCUGCAACUGUUUAUUAAAAACACAGCACUGUGCAAACACGAAAGUGGACGUAUACGGUGUGACGCCUGCCCGGUGCCGGAAGGUUAAUUGAUGGGGUUAGCGCAAGCGAAGCUCUUGAUCGAAGCCCCGGUAAACGGCGGCCGUAACUAUAACGGUCCUAAGGUAGCGAAAUUCCUUGUCGGGUAAGUUCCGACCUGCACGAAUGGCGUAAUGAUGGCCAGGCUGUCUCCACCCGAGACUCAGUGAAAUUGAACUCGCUGUGAAGAUGCAGUGUACCCGCGGCAAGACGGAAAGACCCCGUGAACCUUUACUAUAGCUUGACACUGAACAUUGAGCCUUGAUGUGUAGGAUAGGUGGGAGGCUUGGAAGUGUGGACGCCAGUCUGCAUGGAGCCGACCUUGAAAUACCACCCUUUAAUGUUUGAUGUUCUAACGUUGACCCGUAAUCCGGGUUGCGGACAGUGUCUGGUGGGUAGUUUGACUGGGGCGGUCUCCUCCUAAAGAGUAACGGAGGAGCACGAAGGUUGGCUAAUCCUGGUCGGACAUCAGGAGGUUAGUGCAAUGGCAUAAGCCAGCUUGACUGCGAGCGUGACGGCGCGAGCAGGUGCGAAAGCAGGUCAUAGUGAUCCGGUGGUUCUGAAUGGAAGGGCCAUCGCUCAACGGAUAAAAGGUACUCCGGGGAUAACAGGCUGAUACCGCCCAAGAGUUCAUAUCGACGGCGGUGUUUGGCACCUCGAUGUCGGCUCAUCACAUCCUGGGGCUGAAGUAGGUCCCAAGGGUAUGGCUGUUCGCCAUUUAAAGUGGUACGCGAGCUGGGUUUAGAACGUCGUGAGACAGUUCGGUCCCUAUCUGCCGUGGGCGCUGGAGAACUGAGGGGGGCUGCUCCUAGUACGAGAGGACCGGAGUGGACGCAUCACUGGUGUUCGGGUUGUCAUGCCAAUGGCACUGCCCGGUAGCUAAAUGCGGAAGAGAUAAGUGCUGAAAGCAUCUAAGCACGAAACUUGCCCCGAGAUGAGUUCUCCCUGACUCCUUGAGAGUCCUGAAGGAACGUUGAAGACGACGACGUUGAUAGGCCGGGUGUGUAAGCGCAGCGAUGCGUUGAGCUAACCGGUACUAAUGAACCGUGAGGCUUAACCUU
rnacentral:rRNA from 1 species